AGAACGAACGCUGGCGGCGUGGAUAAGACAUGCAAGUCGAACGCGACUUAUUUUGUUAGCAAUAACGAAGUAAGUUGAGUGGCGAAAGGGUGCGUAACACGUGGGAAUUUACCAAAAAGUGGGGAAUAGCUUGGCGAAAGCCAAAUUAAUACCGCAUGUGAUCGAAAGAUCAAAGCCGGGGACCGCAAGGCCUGGCGCUUUUUGAGAAGCCCGCGGCCCAUCAGCUAGUUGGCGAGGUAAAAGCUCACCAAGGCUAUGACGGGUAGCUGGUCUGAGAGGACGACCAGCCACACUGGAACUGAGACACGGUCCAGACACCUACGGGUGGCAGCAGUCGAGAAUUUUUCACAAU
rnacentral:rRNA from 1 species